AUGGUGGCCCCGCUGCGCCCCGGGGGCUGUGGCGGUGAGCACCGGCCGGCCCCGCCGCCAUGCCCGCCGGGCCCCUGCGCCCCCGCUGCGGGACCCGCGCGCCGACUGGGCUCAGCGAGCCGGCAGAGCCCGGCGCGGGCGGCCCGCGGGACUCGCCCUGUCGCCCCUGAGGGGCCCGAGGCGGCGGCUCUCGGGGCCGCGUCCCGCCCCCGCGUCUUCGAGGUGUACGAGGCUCUGCGGUGUUUGCGAUCCGCACGCGCGCGGAGCGCCCCCGGCCCUGCGCUCGAGGUCUGCCCGGCUCCGCCUGCCCGGAGCUUGCCCUGCCGGACCCCAAACUCGGCCUUCCCGGGGGCUCUCCAGGCCAGAAUGCCCGCUGCCCUUUGGGGGACACGCUGCCUCCGGCCGUCCCGGCUGCAGCCUUUCUGGGUGUCCGGAGGGCUCCCCCGCGUGUGCGCCCCCUGUUCAGCCCCUCGCUUGUCCGAACCUGCUCCAGGAAGCUCGUCCGCUCUCCUGCCCCCUGCUCUCCUAGGGUCGUCUCUGAGGUCUCUGCUGGUAGUCCCAGCGAUGCCCUCAGGCGUCUCUCCCUGCACAGCCUGUCACCAGGGAAAUGGUGGCAUCUGGAGGAUGCGCGUGCAGGAGGGCGAGUCACCAGGCUCUCAAGCUGAGAGUGCCAGAGCCACCCCUGCGGAACCGGGUCAAGGGGCAGGUUGUGGGCCCGCCCCCAGGGUGCCUGACCCACCAGGUUGUCUCAGGGCCCCUGAGACCCUGGUGAAGAGCUGGACGGGAGCACGAGGGGAUCCCUGGGCAGCCCAGAGCCGGUUCGGCUCAGCGUGGGCUCUUGUUCCCAAAGGGCCCCCAGUGGGCUCCAGCCCCUGGAUGGAGCAGAGCUGUGAACACCUGGUGCUCUUCCCAUCACACACGUGCUGGUCAAACCUGCACUCGCCAGGCCGGGGGUCAGUCACCGCACCUCCUGUUUAUCGGAAAUCACCUGCGCACUGUGGAAAAUCAAGAGUCGGACAGUCUUUCAAAACUCAGUUUCAUUCGCAGGAGUCCGGGGUCAGAGAUAGGGGUGACUUAAAGCAGCACGAGGGAGGUCUCUGUGGUGAGGGGACAUCUGCCUCUCGAGUGCAGGGUGGCACAGGAGUCCACACCUGCGAUGAGUGCUGCAGAGCAGCAGCAGCCUCCCCUGGCCCGCUGGUGUCCUGUGAUCACGUGAGACGCCAACGCUGCAGGAAACUGCAAAGGGUCCCCGGGACCUGUCUGUGCUGUUUGAAACUUUAUGUGAAGGUAUAA
rnacentral:lncRNA from 1 species